GAUGAACGCUGGCGGCGUGCUUAAUACAUGCAAGUCGAGCGAACAGACGAGGAGCUUGCUCCUCUGACGUUAGCGGCGGACGGGUGAGUAACACGUGGAUAACCUACCUAUAAGACUGGGAUAACUUCGGGAAACCGGAGCUAAUACCGGAUAAUAUAUUGAACCGCAUGGUUCAAUAGUGAAAGACGGUUUUGCUGUCACUUAUAGAUGGAUCCGCGCCGCAUUAGCUAGUUGGUAAGGUAACGGCUUACCAAGGCAACGAUGCGUAGCCGACCUGAGAGGGUGAUCGGCCACACUGGAACUGAGACACGGUCCAGACUCCUACGGGAGGCAGCAGUAAGGAAUCUUCCGCAAUGGGCGAAAGCUUGACGGAGCAACGCCGCGUGAGUGAUGAAGGUCUUCGGAUCGUAAAACUCUGUUAUUAGGGAAGAACAAAUGUGUAAGUAACUAUGCACGUCUUGACGGUACCUAAUCAGAAAGCCACGGCUAACUACGUG
rnacentral:rRNA from 1 species